AGUGAACGCUGGCGGCAGGCCUAACACAUGCAAGUCGAACGGCAGCACAAGAGAGCUUGCUCUCUGGGUGGCGAGUGGCGGACGGGUGAGGAAUGCAUCGGAAUCUGCCCAUUUGUGGGGGAUAACCUCGGGAAACCGGGACUAAUACCGCAUACGACCUACGGGUGAAAGCAGGGGAUCUUCGGACCUUGCGCAGAUGGAUGAGCCGAGGCCGGAUUAGCUAGUUGGAGGGGUAAAGGCCCACCAAGGCGACGAUCCGUAGCUGGUCUGAGAGGAUGAUCAGCCACACUGGGACUGAGACACGGCCCAGACUCCUACGGGAGGCAGCAGUGGGGAAUAUUGGACAAUGGGCGCAAGCCUGAUCCAGCCAUGCCGCGUGUGUGAAGAAGGCCUUCGGGUUGUAAAGCACUUUUGUUGGGAAAGAAAAGCAGCCGGUUAAUACCCGGUUGUCAUGACGGUACCCAAAGAAUAAGCACCGGCUAACUUCGUG
rnacentral:rRNA from 1 species